AUUCACUCAGAGUCAGUGGUGUUUUGGCCUCGAUCACGAGCAGGUGGACCCUGUCUGCCUCCGCUAUGGCCCUGCCUGCCACGCGCGCCGACGACCUACUCCGUGCCAUUUGUCUCUCUUAGAUGACUACUCCGCUUCCCAACCCUCGGACAGAUAGACGGAAAGGCACUGGGCCGCUCUUCUUUUUUUAUUUAUUUUUUUUCGAAAGGAUUUACCAAAUUCUUUGCUCUCCACUUCUCCUCCGACCACCUGGUUCCUCCGUAAGCCGAAGAUUCUGAAAUCUGUCACCAGAUUACUCGCCAUAAAAUGGAACCGAGUGUUUUUUUAGCCAGAUUCUGAGUUUGGAGUUUCAGAUUUUUGGGGUUUCUUACUCUCGGUCGAGAUACCAGCUUCAGUCGUCAUAAUGCAGCCAGCGGACUGGUGUUUAUUGUUGGUCUUUAUCGCAACCGUGACUGCGCAUGCAGAAUCCACUGUUAUUUUCAACAAGACAAAAACCAAGGUCUACCCACCUGUGCCCAGGAGCUUACCCCACUUCAGCUUCAGGUGAG